rnacentral:rRNA from 1 species
CCUACGGGUGGCAGCAGUGAGGAAUAUUGGUCAAUGGCCGAGAGGCUGAACCAGCCAAGUCGCGUGAGGGAAGACGGCUCUACGGGUUGUAAACCUCUUUUGUCGGGGAGCAAAGAGAGUCACGUGUGACUCAUUGAGAGUACCCGAAGAAAAAGCAUCGGGUAACUCGGUGCCAGCAGCCGCGGUAAUACGGAGGAGGCGAGCGUUAUCCGGUUUUAUGGGGUUUAAAGGGUGCGCUGGCGGAGGUGCAAGUCAGCGGUCACAUUGCGGGGCUCAACCCCGUACUGCCGUUGAAACUGCAUCCCUAGAGUGCGCGAGAGGUAUGCGGAAUGCGUGGUGUAGCGGUGAAAUGCAUAGAUAUCACGCAGAACUCCGAUUGCGAAGGCAGCAUACCGGCGCGCAACUGACGCUCAUGCACGAAAGCGUGGGUAUCGAACAGGAUUAGAUACCCUGGUAGUC